GAUGAAGAACGCAGCGAAAUGCGAUACUUGGUGUGAAUUGCAGAAUCCCGUGAACCAUCGAGUCUUUGAACGCAAGUUGCGCCCGAAGCCAUUAGGCCGAGGGCACGCCUGCCUGGGCGUCACACGUCGUUGCCCCCCCAUCUACUCCUUCGGGAUUGCGGGGGGCGGAUGAUGGCCUCCCGUGCGCCACGCCGCGCGGUUGGCGUAAAUGCCAAGUCCUCGGCGACGCACGCCACGACAAUCGGUGGUUGCGAAACCUCGGUUGCCCGUCGUGUGCGGUCGUCGCGCAUCGAGGGCUCGAAAAAAUUGCCGGGUUCCGGCUCGGCUUUCAACGCGACCCCAGGUCAGGCGGGGUUACCCGCUGAAUUUAAGCAUAUCAAUAAGCGGAGGA
rnacentral:misc_RNA from 1 species